rnacentral:rRNA from 1 species
GGUUAAGUUAACAAGGGCGCAUGGUGAAUGCCUUGGCACUAGGAGCCGAUGAAGGACGGGACUAACACCGAUAUGCUUCGGGGAGCUGUACGUAAGCUAUGAUCCGGAGAUUUCCGAAUGGGGCAACCCAGCAGUUUUAAUCAACUGUUACCACUAGAUGAAUUCAUAGUCUAGUUGGAGGUAAACGCUGUGAACUGAAACAUCUCAUUAGCAGCAGGAAUAUAAAGAAAUUUCGAUUCCCUAAGUAGCGGCGAGCGAACGGGGAACAGCCCAAACCAAAGUGCUUGCACUUUGGGGUUGUAGGACUGAACAUUUGAGUUACCAAAGAACUUGAUAGUCGAAGGAUUUGGGAAAAUCCGCCAUAGAUGGUGAUAGCCCAGUAGAUUAAAUCAAAUUCUCUCAGUUCAGGAUCCUGAGUACGGCGGAACACGUGAAAUUCCGUCGGAAUCCGGGAGGACCGUCUCCCAAGGCUAAAUACUACCUAGUGACCGAUAGUGAACCAGUACCGUGAGGGAAAGGUGAAAAGCACCCCGGGAGGGGAGUGAAAUAGUUCCUGAAACCAUGUGCCUACAAUAAGUCAGAGCGCGUUAAUGCGUGAUGGCGUGCCUUUUGUAGAAUGAACCGGCGAGUUAUGAUCCCGUGCAAGGUUAAGACUAAAAAGUCGGAGCCGUAGCGAAAGCGAGUCUGAAAUGGGCGUUUUGAGUACGAGGUUAUAGACCCGAAACCAGGUGACCUAUCCAUGUCCAGGUUGAAGGUGCGGUAAAACGCACUGGAGGACCGAACCCGUGUAAGUUGAAAAUUGCUGGGAUGAGGUGUGGAUAGCGGUGAAAUUCCAAACGAACUUGGAGAUAGCUGGUUCUCUCCGAAAUAGCUUUAGGGCUAGCCUCGGAAUUAGGAUCAUGGAGGUAGAGCACUAUUUGGACUAGGGGCCCGUCUUGGGUUACUGAAUUCAGAUAAACUCCGAAUGCCAUUGAUUCAUAUCCGGGAGUCAGACGAUGAGUGAUAAGAUCCACCGUCGAAAGGGGAACAGCCCAGACCAUCAGUUAAGGUCCCUAAAUGUAUGCUAAGUGGAAAAGGAUGUGGAGUUGCAUAGACAACUAGGAUGUUGGCUCAGAAGCAGCCACCAUUUAAAGAGUGCGUAAUAGCUCACUAGUCGAGUGAUCCUGCGCCGAAAAUGUACCGGGGCUAAGCAUACUACCGAAACCAUGGAUGCGACCAUUAGGUCGCGUGAUAGGAGAGCGUUCUAAGGGCGGUGAAGCAAGAUCGUGAGGACUUGUGGAGCGCUUAGAAGUGAGAAUGCCGGUAUGAGUAGCGAAAGAUAGGUGAGAAUCCUAUCCACCGAAUGACUAAGGUUUCCUGGGGAAGGCUCGUCCUCCCAGGGUUAGUCGGGACCUAAGUCGAGGCCGAGAGGCGUAGACGAUGGAUAACAGGUUGAGAUUCCUGUACUAGUUAAGUGCGUUUGAGCAAUGGAGGGACGCAGGAGGCUAAGAUGUGCAUUCUGUUGGAUUAGAAUGUCCAAGCAGUAAGUCUUGUGAAGAGUCAAAUGCUUUUCACUUUAAGGACAAGCUGUGAUGGGGAGCGAAAUUUAGUAGCGAAGCGUCUGAUGUCACACUGCCGAGAAAAGCUUCUAGUGAGUACUUAACUACCCGUACCGCAAACCGACACAGGUAGUCGAGGAGAGAAUCCUAAGGUGAGCGAGUGAACUCUCGUUAAGGAACUCGGCAAAAUGACCCCGUAACUUCGGGAGAAGGGGUGCUGAUCGCAAGAUCAGCCGCAGUGAAUAGGCCCAGGCGACUGUUUAUCAAAAACACAGGUCUCUGCAAAAUCGUAAGAUGACGUAUAGGGGCUGACGCCUGCCCGGUGCUGGAAGGUUAAAAGGAUGGGUUAGCUUCGGCGAAGCUCAGAAUUGAAGCCCCAGUAAACGGCGGCCGUAACUAUAACGGUCCUAAGGUAGCGAAAUUCCUUGUCGGGUAAGUUCCGACCCGCACGAAAGGCGUAACGAUCUGGGCACUGUCUCAACGAGAGACUCGGUGAAAUUAUAUUGUCCGUGAAGAUGCGGACUACCCGCGACAGGACGGAAAGACCCCAUGGAGCUUUACUGUAGCUUGAUAUUGAGUGUUUGUACAGCUUGUACAGGAUAGGUAGGAGCCAUAGAAACCGGAACGCUAGUUUCGGUGGAGGCGUUGGUGGGAUACUACCCUCGCUGUAUGACCACUCUAACCCGCACCACUAAUCGUGGUGGGAGACAGUGUCAGGUGGGCAGUUUGACUGGGGCGGUCGCCUCCUAAAAAGUAACGGAGGCGCCCAAAGGUUCCCUCAGAAUGGUUGGAAAUCAUUCGCAGAGUGUAAAGGCACAAGGGAGCUUGACUGCGAGACAGACAGGUCGAGCAGGGACGAAAGUCGGGCUUAGUGAUCCGGUGGUACCGUAUGGAAGGGCCAUCGCUCAACGGAUAAAAGCUACCCUGGGGAUAACAGGCUUAUCUCCCCCAAGAGUCCACAUCGACGGGGAGGUUUGGCACCUCGAUGUCGGCUCAUCGCAUCCUGGGGCUGUAGUCGGUCCCAAGGGUUGGGCUGUUCGCCCAUUAAAGCGGUACGCGAGCUGGGUUCAGAACGUCGUGAGACAGUUCGGUCCCUAUCCGUCGCGGGCGUAGGAAAUUUGAGAGGACCUGUCCUUAGUACGAGAGGACCGGGAUGGACAUACCUCUGGUGUACCAGUUGUGCCGCCAGGCGCAUCGCUGGGUAGCUACGUAUGGAUGUGAUAAACGCUGAAAGCAUCUAAGUGUGAAACACACCUCGAGAUGAGAUUUCCCAUUCCUUUAUGGAAGUAAGACCCCUGAAAGAUGAUCAGGUAGAUAGGUUAGAAGUGGCAGUGCGGUGACGCAUGAAGCGGACUAAUACUAAUCGGUCGAGGACUUAACCAA